CGCAGCCGCGGUAAUUCCAGCUCCAAUAGCGUAUAUUAAAGUUGUUGCAGUUAAAAAGCUCGUAGUUGAAUUUCGGGAUCAAGUCGUCGGUCGUGCCUCGGUACGCACUGGUGACAUUGGUUUCUCCCUUCUGAAGAACCUUGAUGUCAUUAAUUUGGUGUCUUGGGGAAUCAGGACUGUUACUUUGAAAAAAUUAGAGUGUUUAAAGCAGGCUCACGCUUGAAUACAUUAGCAUGGAAUAAUGAAAUAGGACGUUUGAUUCUAUUUUGUUGGUUUCUAGGAUCGACGUAAUGAUUAAUAGGGAUAGUUGGGGGCAUUAGUAUUCAAUUGUCAGAGGUGAAAUUCUUGGACUUAUUGAAGACUAACUACUGCGAAAGCAUUUGCCAAGGAUGUUUUCAUUAAUCAAGAACGAAAGUUAGGGGAUCGAAGACGAUCAGAUACCGUCGUAGUCUUAACCAUAAACUAUGCCGACUAGGGAUCGGAUGAUGUUAAUUUUUUAAUGACUCAUUCGGCGCCUUAC
rnacentral:rRNA from 1 species